CCCUAUUGCUCCUGUAAGUCGCUCUGGAUAAGAGUGUCUGCUAAAUGACACAUU
rfam:Salmo salar isolate Sally breed double haploid chromosome ssa20, whole genome shotgun sequence.